AAUGAUCCUGCACCUUUCCCAUCACCGAAAAACCUGUAAAUUAAGAACACAAAAAGGAACAAAACAAAAAAAUUAACCGAACAUUGACCUCAACGCUUUAAAUGAAAUUGAAACAAAACAUUCACGAUGUCGUGAUCGACAGCGAGUAUAAGUCUGAGUGCAGCUAGCCCUGUCCUCAUGUCUGCAACGCCUGCAGGAUCUGGUUGUCUUGACAACAGGUGAAAGAUGUUUGUCUUCACAACUUGUGUGCACACAUGUUCCAGCCACAAACGGCUGGAACAUGCGUAAAUAGUUAAAGUAGUUGAUAAAAUGUUCUCACCACUAUUGUUUCUGUACGACAACGUUGCUUUUCGUCCCACACGUGGAUUAGUCAUCAGCGAUACAAGGAUGUUACAUGCAACUUGUCAGAGCUUUAGUUAUUGAUCCCUUCAGAUAUCGUCAAUGUUUGAGCAUUACGUCAGAUUUGGGAAGUCCGUCAAGAAACCGUCAAGACAGAAAGCAAAACCGGAUAUGGACAAAUUGAGGUUGUCAUCAGGAUUUGUUCACAUUUUUCAAAUUUGACAAUUCUGACGAAGUGCCAACUACAGGAACAAAGCUGGACGACAGUUAAAUGAUGCCUCCGAAAAUCAAUGUAAGUCCAGAUUUCUUGCUUCGUUUGGGCUUUGUUGUCCUUCGUUCGUGCCGUGUGACCGGGGCUUAAUGCAAGUGAUGUGCAAGGUGUAGUCUGUUAACAAACCCGCUUAAAAUAAAAUCAACAUGCAACACAGCCACCAUGCACACACAUUGCAGCUGGUUUUCGCUUUAACGUUGAAUUGUUCCUGUUGUGACGUUUCACUAAAUUACUCCCUAAGCCAAGCAGGUUUUUAGUGCCACUUAAGGGUACUAAACUGCACUACAACCCAGCCUCAAUGUACCAUGGCCUACACAACAAUGGUGGCCAUCCCAGGGUGGCAGCUAUAGCCAGGUAGGGUUCAAUGAUGAAUAUUUACACAGAGGUCAAACAUUUUCCACAUUAUUUGUGUGAUCAUAAAGAUUCCAAAAGGAUAUAGUUUAAACUAACUAUGGUUGAAAGUUAUAGAGGUAUGGGGUUAAAAAUGGGGAAAAAAAUGGCGACAAAGGUCAAAGUCAAAGUUGGUCCAAUUUUAGUGUAAAGUGAUGCAGUUUAUUGGCUGAGUUAAAUAAGUUAAUGAGUUAAUGAGUUAAUGAGUUAAAUAAAAUUAAAAGUUUGAACAAUCUGUCAUUCUUGGUUAUAACGCUGCAGGCUGAAGUAUGUCAUAGAAUCCAAUAGACGUCGACUUUCAUUUAGUCAGGCAUUGGCCCUUUACGUUUCAGCCAUUCAUCUUCUACUUAUCAAAGAUCCAUUUUUGUAAUUUUUUUUUUUUUUGUCUUGGUGGUGGGGGGGACUAGUGCACCAUGUGAAGGAGUUCUGAGCUUAUCUACAACAUUAUUUCCCUUAUUAGCAUAUCAACUAGGGCGGUUUGGGGGGUGCGUGGCAGAUCUGGCUUGCAGAGCCAGUGGUCAGCAGGUUGCAGUGAAGCAGUGUUUUCAUUCAUACAUGUAGGGCAGCUCUGGUUUUUUUUUUUUUUUUAAUUUAGGUGCAGUAUUCUGGUACUUCCGCCUCUCUCCUUCUGACUGUAUGGUACACGGUUCGGUCAUUUUGUUUUGUACCAAACACACUGAGCCCUGCUUUUCUACAUACUUGAUUCUUAUCCCAUGUUAGCUGAAUGUGUUGGGCUUGUUGGGUCUUGGUGGAGGUUAGAUACUCUCUGACUGCCAUCUGCUGUCCUCUUGCAGUAGUUAACUUUCAAUAUAAAAUGCACAAAGAUUAGCUCUACAUAAUAACCCGCAACUGUGGGACCAACAAGUCACGCUGUUACACCAUCAAGCUUCUGACCUGCUUAUUUGACAGCACACACAAAAAAUUGUGUUGCAAUUUUCACAUGUAAUCAGGGCCUUAGUCUAGGUCACAUGUACAUUUACAAUUUCAGAACCUGUAAAAGGUUUAUUUACAUGCUUAAUGCUUAAAUGUCAUUUAACAUUUAAUAAAUUACAGAUGCACUAAACAAAAACAAUUGCUUAAUUUGGCUCAAUUCAUGCCUUUGUUUUAAAUUUAGACAGUCAGCAAAUUAGUGAUUGUGCCUUAACAGCGCUAAAUGGGCACUAAUUGUACAUUGCCAACAAUUUGGAUGGUGUCAAAAUUGUCACUGUAUUUUCCAGAAGAAAAGUGUUGUUCUGAUUUCAGGGGUUUAACUGACUUUUUUUUUCUUUAUUCAGUGUAUGCCCACACCCCACAGUCAUGACCUUUGCAGUGGGGCCAGAGCAUUCAGCAAAGUGAACAUUUGAACUGUUAGCUCAGCAGAAAGCAGGAUUUUCAUCCUGUGUGUAGCGCUUCUGUCUCGUGGUCCUGGCCCAUUCCUCUUCCAGUGGUGCAGAAUGAUGCUGUGCCCAGUAGAUUGUCAUUUGUAUCAAAGAAACUCAGAGUGAAAGAUAUUUCACCUGAGCCUUAUUUGAACGAAAACUGGGCCAAUGGGACAACUGCCGCUGUUGUAAUAGUUGGCAAUUAUACCACCUCUUUACUUUAUACUGAUUAUUUAUUGUGUUGUUAGACAAGAACAGAAGUGAUUGUGGUUGUGUGCUGAAAAUAAGAGCAGCUUUGGCUUGUUUUCAGUACAUUGGGUGUGACUUGGGGGAUUGGCUUUCGUUGUGAAGAGGCUUUGACUGUUUUAUUCAACUUGUACCUCACUGCAAAUGUUACAGUUUAAUAAAAAGUUUCAUUCUUACAAUAUCCCAUGGUCUUUGCUGGCUAAAAUUCACAAUGGCUGGCAUUUCUGCCACUGUCCAACACAUUUGGUAGCCGAGUCUUUAAUUACUUACUGUUAAUGGCAUUGUUGUUGAAUGUAUGUAUCACAGAAAGAAGAAUGAAAACAUUUAAUGUGAAAUAGUGACAUUUUGCAAGUUGUCACUGACAUCACAACUCUUAAAUGUGUGUAGACAAUAAUGUUAAUAGUUGUGUAUUUACUGUAAACUUAACGUAAGGAGUACAAUAAAUGCUCCUUCACAAAUUAAAUGACACCUGAACACUUUCUGUCACUGGGCCGUUUAAAUGUAUUUGAUUGUAACACUUGAUCGUUUACCUUCAACUCCUCGUCUUUUCCUGUGUGCCCGUAAUAUGUGCAAAACAGAACAAUGUAAAUGAACAGUUGUGAAUUUUAAGGAGCAUCCUCGCCAAGAAAGCCAAAAAAACAUUGAACAACUUGAAUAAACAUGAUAAAGUCAGAACAUGUGUGGAACAAACUGUGGCCUAAAGAACAGGAUCAAUUAUUAAUCCUCUGCUGAAAUCAAAAUUUUCACUGAAUGGGAAAGUGUGUCCAAAUAUCAAGGAAUUGUCCCCUUCAAAAUAUGAUGGUAAGCUGUGUUACAUAAGAUGUUCAAAACGGUUUGAGAACCAAAAAAAACUCAUAAAAUAUAUUAUAACACAAACCAUUGUAGACGCAGGACUAUUAUGGGGUUUGGCAACCAGAAUAUUUAGACUUUUUAAUCUGAGUCACUGCCUUCAUAAGUAAACCUUCUUCUUGUUUGUUUGGUGUCUUAUUUAUUCCGCAGUGAUUACUGUUGUGCUCUUCCAACUCAGAAACUUCCUUUUGUACAGACAAAUUCCCCUGACCUCAACAACCUGUCCCCCUACCAACUUUUUUUGUUAACAUAGAUGUUUGUGCACACUCACAGUGUUUGUAAAACUAUGAAUUCUGCAGAAUAUUUUUGGAGAAAAUUGCUGUACAGUAUUUGUAAGUUAUAUUUUUGUAUAUUGCUCUUUUGAAGAAGAUAAUAUGCAUUUGUUUUUCUUUUUUGCUAAUUUCAUGUUUAUUGCAUGUGACUGACUUGAAAUGUAAAUCAAAUUUCCAGUUUUGGG